rnacentral:lncRNA from 1 species
GGGAGUUGAGCUGCUGUGAACCGUCGUUCUCUCCCAAAAUAUUUCCAGCUAGGGAUUCCGCGUCCUCUAUCUCAAUAGCAUUAUGUAAAUCCCUGGAUAUUGUCUCAAAGCCAAUAAUCAUCGUAUCAUCAUCACCCUCUUCCGAAACGACCUUCUCCUCAAGGUUUAGAGAAGGAAAUCUACUCGCGAUAUCUGCCACUGACUCCCAAGAAGAGUCUUCAGGUAAUGCCCUGUUCCACUGAAUUAGAACCUGUUUAACUUUUUCUUUUGCUUGCCAUAUGAUCCUGCUAUCCAGUAUUGCAAUUGAGUAACUAAUUGGUUGAUUGUUGAUGGCUAUUACUGGAUCUUUUCCGGAAUGAUUUUCAGAUAUUGGACAACAAAAUGCCUUCAACCUUGACACAUGGAAUGUGUUAUGUAUUCUGCAGGUAGUUUUACUUUGUAUGCAGCUUUAUUUAUCACUCUUUCAAUCAUAUAAGGACCAAAAUAUUUUUGGCACAAUUUAUUAUGUAAUCUGCUAGCCACUGAACUCUGCCUGUAUGGCUGUAAUUUUAUUAAGACCCAUGCACCCACUUCAAAUCUCACCUCAGACCUCUUUUUAUCAGCUUGAAGCUUCAUUCUUGCUUGAGCCUUCAAUAAAUUUCUUUUUAUAACUUCCAAUGUUUCUUCUCUCAGAGUUAACAUCAUAUCAACUGACUCUAUUUGUGAAUCUCCUUCCUUAUAAUGUGGUAGUUCAUUGGCUUCUUUACCAUAUACAGCUUUGAAGGGAGACAUCCCAAUGGAAGAAUGGUACCCCGAAUUAUACCAUAAUUCUGCCCAUGGCAGUAAUACUAGCCACUGCUUGGGGUCAUCAUGACAGUAUGACCUUAGAUACAUUUCUAAUGUUCUAUUUACUACCUCUGUUUGGCCAUCAGUUUCUGGAUGGUAUAAGGAAGAAUAGGACAAUUUGGUUCCACUCAAUUUGUGUAAUUCCUUCCAAAAUUUGGAAGUGAAUAUUCUAUCUCUAUCUGAUACUAUUGAUGUCGGUAUUCCAUGUAACUUCAUGAUAUCUUUCAGAAACACCUCUGCUACCUGGACAACAUUGAAGUUUGGGGGUAGUGCACUGAAGUGAGCAUAUUUGGAUAAUCUAUCCACUACCACCAUUAUCACAGAUUUUCCUUCCCUUUUAGGUAAGUCAGUUAUAAAGUCCAUGGUUACAUCUUUCCAUGUUGUAGACGGGAUAGGUAGAGGCAUGAGUAGGCAUGAAGGCUUCUGGUUGGAAGGCUUCAUCUUUUGGCAAAUUAUACAAUCUUUCACAUAGUUAUAUAUAUCCAAUCCCAUCUUAGGCCAAUAAAAUACUUUGCAUACUCUUUUCUUGGUCUUCAUUUUACCAGCAUGGCCUCCUAGCUAUUAAUGAAUCAUGAAACUCUUCUAGAAUUUUAGGAAUAAAAACUGAAUUCUUCUUUAAGUAAUAUCUGCCCUUAAAGAAUAAAAUUCUUGAUUUUACCUGAAACCCAUUGAAAUCUUGGCCUUCCUCUAAAGAUGCAUGAAUAAUGCUCUGCACCUCGGGAUCUUCUUCAUUUUCUUUCUUAAUAUCUUCUAGCAUAGAAUUUACUGAUAUGGAGAAGGAUAGUAAUGAUCCCGGUUCAUCUUCAGCUCCACUAGAAAAUAUAAUUUCUUCACUCUCUCCUUCUUCAAAUGAUCUGGAUAGAGCGUCAGCUACAAUAUUUUCCUUGCCUGGUUUAUAGAGUAUGUUAAAAUCGAAUCCCAAUAAUUUUACAAGGAACACUUGUUGUUCUGGAGUCUGAAUUACCUAAGUUAAGAGAUUUCUGUGAUCAGUUUUAAUUAUAAAAUGAGAUCCCAAUAAGUAGUGUCUCCACUUGGCUACUUUUUGUGUUAUCGCAUACAUUUCUUUCACAUAUAUUGUUGCUGAACUGAGCUUACCUGAUAUCUUUCUGCUGAAGAAUGAUAUGGGGUGCUUGUUCUGAAUUAAUACUGUCCCUACCCCCAUUGUUGCAAGCAUCUAUCUCAAUAAUGAAUUGUUGAUUAAAAUCAGGGUAUCCUAAUACUAGAGCUGACACCAUGGCUGUUUUUAAAUUUUCAAAGCUACCUUGGGCUAUGUCACUCCACUUAAAAGCAUCCUUUUUUAAUAAAUCUGUCAUAGGAGAAGCUAUCUGGGCAUAGCUCUUAAUGAAUCUACUAUAGUAGUCAGUCAAUCUCAAAAAUCCUCUUAGCAUUUUAAGGUUCUUUGGAACAUCCCACUCCACCAUUGCUUUUAUGUUUUCCGGAACCGAAUACACCCCAUCAGCCUUAAUGAUAUGACCCAAAAAAUCCCAUAGAAUCUUGACCAAAGGAACACUUGGACAAGUUUGCUAAUAAUCUGUUCUCCCUCAAGGUGUCAAAUACCUUAUGUAAAUGUGUGAGGUGAUCCUAUAGGGAUGAGCUGAACACUAAUAUAUCAUCAAAAAAUAUAAUAACGAAUUUCCUUAAAUAUUUAGCAAAAACAGAAUUCAUGACUGAUUGGAAAGUUGCUGGUGCAUUUGUGAGACCGAAUGGCAUCAUUAAAAAUUCAAAGUACCCCUGGUGGGUUCUGAAUGCUGUCCUUUCAAUAUGAGGUGGAUGAACUCUGAUCUGAUGAAAUCCAUAUCUUAGAUCUAAUUUUGAGAAAAAUUUAGAUCCUUUAAGUUCCCCUAGAAGUUCAUCCACAGUAGGAAUAGGAAACUUGUCUUUAGCAGUUAGAGCAUUCAAAGCUCUAUAAUCCACACAUAAUCUAUAGCCUCCAUCUUUCUUUUUUACUAGUAGUACUGGAGAUGAAUAUGGGUUGGUGCGCGCUAGGCUUGAUGAUCUGCUGAUUUAACAUUUCAGCCACUAGUUUUUCAAUUUCUGACUUCUGGAAUUGUGGGUACCUAUAAUGCCUCACAUUUACAGGGUUUGCAUUACAUUCCAGAUUUAUAAAGUGGUCUCUAUCUCUUUGGGGUGGCAGCCCUGUUGGUGUUUCAAAAAUAUCAGUAUAUUCUUGAACAAUUUUAGUGACUUUUAGGUUGUUUGAAUUCAGAGUAGGAACCUCUUCAUUUUUCUCUAUUUUCUACAUAUAACAUAAGUAGGCUUCCUGUGUAGAGGCAACAAGGCAUUUUAACUGUCCCACAGAAAGAGGAUCUUCAGAAACCCAAGAACAUCAUUGCCAUAUAAUCUGUUUUUAAGUCUUCUUAAAUGACAUGUUAAGCUCAUCAAAAUUAAAGGUGACUAGUCCCAAAGUCUUUAAUCCUUGAAUCCCAAUAACCACAUUAGCCCCUGCCAUCUGAAGCAAAAAAAUGUCCAUUUUCACCAAUGUAUUCUGGAUUUUUAUUUCUACUUCUUUGCAGACUGCCUCACAAAUUAAUUUACCACUCCCAGUAGACACUUUAAAUGGAACUAUCACAUGAGUGACUAAUUUCAGAGCUGAGGCUACUUUUGUUUGAAUAAAAUUGUGUGUGGAACAUGUGUCCAAUAGUACACUAACAUACUGGCUUUUUAUGAGGCCAUCUAAUCUGAUGGUUGUGGCAUUGAUAUGACCUUCAAAAGCGUGAUAGCUGAUUUCUCUGUCCUCAGUACUAAUGUUUUCAGUUUCUUCUUCCACCACCUCUUCUUCCUCAACCACUUCCCAAAAGCAAGAGUACUCAUCACCUUACAUUUUGAAAAAAAUUCCUUUACACUUAUGGACAGGAAUGAAUUUGUCAUCACAGUUAAUUAAAACAUAACCCUUUAGUUGUCCUCUCCUUUCUUUCAGAAGGAUACAAUCUUUUAAGCACAGGUGAUGGUAUGGAAUUUUCCUUUGGGCUUCCUUUUGUUUGAUCUGUCUUGGUUAUGAAUGAUGUAGUCUUGAGAGUGAAUGACUUUGUAUAAUAGGGCUUGUUGCUCCCUUUAAAACCUGGUUUCCUUGCUUCAAACGUGAGUGAUAGUUCAAAUGCCUCAUGUAUAUAUGAAGGUUUGCCUCUCAUUACCUCCAUCUGUAUUUCUUCCUUGAGACCUGAAAUGUACAUUUCUAAAAUAAAGUAUUCAGGCAGCCAAGUUGUAAAUAAAAUGCCAAGUUGUAAAUUUCCUGAUGACUACAUCUACAAAUUUUUUCCAUGAUGAUAGCAUAUUGCUUGCCUCAAGCCAAGCAAACCAUUUCAUUGCUAUUCCAUCUAAGUGGAAUGAAACAAUAAGAAGUUUUUGAUCUUCGGGAAUUUUAUUAAAUAUAAAAUACCUUCUUAUUGAAAAUAACCAACACUCCGCAUCUGUGUCAUCAAACCUUGGCAUGUUAACUUUGAUAUGCUUGGCAGGGGAGUAAGAAUCAUUAUUUAGGAUGUUGCUGGCAUAGUCAGGAUUGUCUAAGUCCACCACUGACUGAUAGAAUGGUUGCAGAGAUUUUGAUUUAUGAUCUGGUUUUUCCUGAUCUUCAUUGCAUUCUAUGUUGAUUUUAGUAUCAGGUGACUCCCUUUGAUUGUUGUACAGAUUUCGUUUAUUUGCCUUCCCAAUUCCAAAAAAUUGCUAUUGACAUUAGCUCUGAACUCGCUCAUGUCCUUGAUUUGAGACAUUUGUAAUGUCUGUAAUCUCUGAAAAUCUGGAUUUGUUGUUAAAUUCAAUAUAGUCAUCCUGAAAGAAGAGAUCAAAUAUUGAAAGCACCAGUGAUAGGGUUCUAAUCCCUGCAAAUAAAUGAAACAACUUGACCCGAGGGUCGAAGGUGCCUUAGAUCUAAGAUUUGGGAUCUUAAUUAGGUGUCCAAGGCGUGCAUAGCGGGAAUCAAUCCCUGAUAUUGAGACUUAGCCCUGGAUGAUUAGUCUUGUUAAGCAAAUCAGCAGAGAGCUCAAUGCAACAUAUUGUUGAGAAGACCGGCAGUGACGGAGAGGAUGGACGGAGGAGUACUCGACAUAACUGCCGGAGGGUAGGGUUUGCGUUUUGUGGAAUUGAGAGAGAUGAUAAUUUUGAUUCAAAUUUCAAUAAAGAUUUCCUCAAUCAUUACAGAGUUUAUACUCAUGACCUAUUACAACUUAAAAUUGACUUUAGGGUCUUUUGCAAUUUAUUAAAAAAAACUAACUAAUGUUGCUGGGUUAAUGUUUCAGCUCACAACGAAGUCUUGAAGAUGGCCCAGCCUCUUCUUAAGUCUUUCCGGUCUAUUUCCCUUAGCUUGAACACAAAGUCGGUUCAUGGGAGUUGUGCUGCUGCGUCAUUUUCCCCCAGCUAGAGAAAGUUGAAGAAAUGAAAUGAUGAAAAUGUUGUAUGGAAAUUUGAUUGAUUGAUGGUAGUUCUAUAGGCUCUAGAAUGAUUGUACGAAUCUUAAUUACUAGUAUAAACAGUAUUAAAUUUAAUACUGAUGGGGGUGAAACCCGACCAGUACUCCAAGACGCGCAAGCAAGCGCCAAGCGGGGAACUCCGCGGGAAACCGGACCGGAACUCAAGUGUGCAGAGCUCUGCUUCGCUAGGAAUCCUUUCGCUCCAAAUGACCUGCCUUUAAUGAAUGGGGGGUGCCCUCUAUUUAUAGGGGUUCUUGUGGGGGCAAUCUGGUCCUUUGGGCAGUAACCGCCUAACCGCCCAACUGAUCAGAUUGGGCCCAGGGGUCGACUUUCCAGAGAUCGACUUUCUGGGGGUCGACUUUUCCUGGUGAUCGACUUUACUCAAAAGUCGAUCCCAGGGAAGUCGAUCCUCAGGAAAGUCGAUCUUCCUAGGAUUCGACCUGGGAUCUCCCCAACCCUAAAAUAGAUACCUCCACUCAUCUUAGGCUAUCCGGACUUCUAGUUGCUGGGAGGUUGUGACCGUGUUCGGGAUACUGUAUCACCAGUACUCCCCCCUCCUCUGCGUAUUAGAUACUUUGGGAUACGUCUUUUAGUACUAUGGUCUGUGCGUCGGACCCUGUACUAUCAGUAUUCCCCCCCCUCUUUGCGUGCUGGGAUGUGGAUUUCUGGUGAUGUCCCUGGAUGUAAGAUCCUCUCUCACCAGUACUCCCCCCCUUUCUACGCCUGCGAGGUUGUAUCUAUGCUUCCACGGAGGUUGUCACGCGCCUUUGCCAACUAUUAUCCGGUUUGUCCUAGCCGAAGCCUACUCCUUGCACCCCUGUCCGGUCCGAUUCUCCCGCGGAACCCUGCUUGCCCACCUUGACGCCUUGCCUGCGCUGUCCUUGAGCACUGUUUGAGUUCUCUUCCCUGUGGCGGGUUUUGAGAGUACUCGACCCCCUCCUUUUCUCCGCCUUUCUGCGAUAGGGGCUGAGUGUGUUUCCUCGUCUACCCACGUUCAUCCGUGGGUGAGGACUAUUACUUGAAUACUUGCCCCCUCCUUUUGCUCGCCUUUCUGCGACUGAGGCUAAGUGUGACUCCUCGUCUACCUAUGUUCAUCCAUAGGUGAGGAUUGUUGUUUGAAUACUUGCCCCCUCCUUUUGCUCGCCUUUCUACGACUGAGGCUAAGUGUGACUCCUCGUCUAGCUACGUUCGUCCGUAGGUGAGGAUUGUUGUUUGAGUACGUCCCUCGUCUAACCUACGUUCCUCCGUAGGUGAGGUUUACUCUUGGACACUUGCCCCUCUAUCUACAUUUUUGUAGAAUGGGGUGUGUGUUUAACCGACGUGUCCCCCGUCUAACCUACGUUCUUCUGUAGGUGGGGUUCACUUUUGCUGAUGUGUUCCCCGUCUAACCUACGUUCUUCCGUAGGUGGGGUUCACUUUUGCUGAUGUGUUCCCCGUCUAACCUACGUUCUUCCGUAGGUGGGGUUCAUUUUUGAGUACGUCCCUCGUCUAACACUACGUUUCCGUAGGUGAGGUUCACUCUUGCUGAUGUGUUCCCCGUCUAACCUACGUUCUUCCGUAGGUGGGGUUCACUCUUGAGUACAUCACUCGUCUAACACUACGUUUCCGUAGGUGAGGUUUACUCUCGCCUUAGAUGGGAUACGCAUCCUGACUCUGUUACCAUUAAGACUUUCUCUAUCCACGUUCUUCCGUAGGUAGAGUUAAUUUGGCGUCCUACUUUGUUACUGCGUCCAGUAAUAGUAGGAGUUCAAAUAUCUUUAUAUGGCUCAGUUCAUUUUGCUGCCGUAUCUCCGUCCGAGUUGUGGACUUCCACGAUUCCUCAGGAGCUUUUCGUGCUACACCCUCCUGUCUUGGUGUGCCUCCGUAACUUCAACUUGUCUGGGUUCUUUUUUCUGCACCCCUUUUAUGUGGGAGGAAAAAGUCGAUCCCUUGUUGGUUUUGGUCGACUUUUGCUAAAUGUCGANNNNNNNNNNNNNNNNNNNNNNNNNNNNNNNNNNNNNNNNNNNNNNNNNNNNNNNNNNNNNNNNNNNNNNNNNNNNNNNNNNNNNNNNNNNNNNNNNNNNUGUUGAGUUUCCUCGACUUUUGCAAAAUGUCGAUCCCCUGUUGAGUUUGGUUGACUUUUGUCAAAAAGUCGAUUCCUGGUGCUUUUGGUCAAAAGUCGAUCCCUUGUGUAAAAAGUCGAUUUUGCCAUUUUGUCCUUUUGUGCUGUCCUAGGGUCUAUAAAUAGGACCCCUAGGUUCUCCUUUUCCUUCAUUCAUCCAUGGCUCUUCUUGUGAGUCUCUUUGCUGAUUUUAUUCAGGGAGAGAUUGAGGAGCUGGAUCGGAUUUUGAAUAUUCUGGAUCCUCGGUCGUCGACCUUGGAUCUUCCUUCUCUGCGCCAACUCAUUGUUGAGUGGCAGAGUGUUGCUGUUGCUGCUAGGGAGUCCAUUUUUGAAGAAUGGUCUGGUGGCGAUCUUCCGCCUGCCUCUUCUUCUGUUAUUCCUCCACGUGGCCGACGUCGGAGGCGUUCCCGCCGCGGUGCUUCCCCGUUGGAUCAGGUCCCUCGCCGCUUGCGUCGCCGUAUUAAUUUUAAUUAGGAACCUGUAAAAUUNNNNNNNNNNNNNNNNNNNNNNNNNNNNNNNNNNNNNNNNNNNNNNNNNNNNNNNNNNNNNNNNNNNNNNNNNNNNNNNNNNNNNNNNNNNNNNNNNNNNUUAUUCGACUUACACGUCGAUCUCAUUUCUCCCUGGAAAUGUCGAUGUUGCCUAAAAAUGUCGAUCCCACCUUUUUCUGAGGAUGUCGAUGACUAUUGAUCCUUUUCUAAAGGUGUCGGAUUUUUGACAAGUCGAUCUUAUUUCUCCCUGGAAACGUCGAUGUUGCCCAAAAAAAUGUCGAUCUCACCUUUUUCUGAGGAAGUCGAUGACUGCUGAUCCUUUUCUAAAGGUGUCGGAUUUUUGACAAGUCGAUCUCAUUUCUCCCUGGAAAUGUCGAUGUUGCCUAAAAAUGUCGAUCCCACCUUUUUCUGAGGAUGUCGAUCAGAGUAGUGUGGAAUGUCGAUCCUGACCUUCUCUUUUGAAGGUUUCGAAUUCCUUGCCAAAUGUCGACGCCUAUCCCCUUUUUUCUGGGAAUGUCGAACAUGCUUUCCUGCGGAAUGUCGAUCCUGGCCUNNNNNNNNNNNNNNNNNNNNNNNNNNNNNNNNNNNNNNNNNNNNNNNNNNNNNNNNNNNNNNNNNNNNNNNNNNNNNNNNNNNNNNNNNNNNNNNNNNNNAUGUCGACGCCUAUCCCCCUUUUCUGGGAAUGUCGAACUCGCUUUCCUGCGGAAUGUCGAUCCUGGCCUUCUCUUUUGUAGGUUUCGAAUUCAUUGGUAAAUGUCGACGCCUAUCCCCCUUUUCUGGGAAUGUCGAACUCGCUUUCCUGUGGAAUGUCGAUCCUGGCCUUCUCUUUUGAAGGUUUCGAAUUCCUUGGUAAAUGUCGACGCCUAUCCCCCUUUUCCUGGGAAUGUCGAACUCAAUUUUCUGCUGAAUGUCGAUGGUUUUUCUGAAAUGUCGAUGAAUCUUCCUGAAAUGUCGAUGUCAUCUAAUUGGGUUUUGGGGUUUUUCACGGACUGGGCCGUCGUGGGCCUGCCGGGCCCGUGGGCUUUCCGGCCCAACGGGUCGACCCGGAUGAACAGUGCCCGCGACGGUUCGUCUUCGACUUUCCCCUAUAAAUAGCGGAGGGGGGUUCACUUCCUCUCCACUUGUUUCCAUCGCUCUGAGGCAUCGACUUUCUUCGCAUCGACUUCCAGCUUCUUCGCUUCGACUUCCAGCUUCUUUGUUUCGACUUCCAGCGUCUCCGCUUCGACUUCCAGCGUGCGUGAGGCUUCGACUUGAGCCUUGAAGGUGCAGCUUUCUGGGGUCCGACUUUUGUUGUCGGGCUCUACUGAGGCUGCACUGGGUUCGACUUCCUUGGGGUCCGACUUUUCUGAAAGUCGGUCCCUUUCGAAGUUGUUCCCCAUUGGACUGUGGUCCGACUUUGUGAGGUUUGACGCCUUGUCAUCGACUUUUCAAAGUUGGAUCCAUUUUUAUUGGGAUCGACUUCCUGACAGUCGACUUUCCUGUGAUCGACUUCUUGAGACCUUUGUCUCCUGACAGUCGACUUUUCUGGAAUCGACUUCUGAGAUCGACUUCCCUUAUAUUGCAAGUUCGAUUCCCUUAAGUCCAGGUUGACUUUUCUUGGGAUCGACUUUUGCCUUAACUUGGCCUGACUGCUCUGUUCUUCGUGCAGGUUUUAUAAUGUCUUCUGACAAGAACUCGCAGCAAGACUCUCCUCAGAUCCCAAAAAUCAUAAAUAUCGAGGUUCGGAAUCCUUCUGCUGAACCGGAGUCUGUUCAGCCUGCUCCUGUUGUACCGGAGCCUAGAGCUUCGCCCUCCGUGCCUAUUGGAAGUAAGAGAAAGACUCUUUCUCGUCGUACGCGCAAGCCCGUACCUCCUAGUAAGUUACUUAUUUAUUAUUUAUUUCGUAACUUACUCUUUAUUUGUUUCUUUUUUGUUUGUAGGUGCUCCCCACUCUUCCCCCAUGCGUUCCAGUUCGGGGUCUUCUACCUCUAGCUCGGGAAGCUCGGGUUCCUCCUCCUAUUACUCUUCUUCCUCGGAGGAUGUAGAUAUUGGAGGAACCCCUCCCUCCAUUGUCAGGACUCCUCCUCCUACCAUCAUUUUACCUUCUAUUCCUGAGGAGACUCCUACUUCGGGGGUUUUAUCUGUGACUACAGGCAGUUCUGCUCAACUUCCUCCCGAAGUCUGUAGUCAGAACAUUCAUGUUCUUGAGAGUUCCCCUAAGGGUUACCCCUCUGAGACGAGGGAUAAAUACCCCUUUCCUUCUCCCCUUGAGGAGACGAGCGUCCCAUCCUUCUAUCGGGAAAUGGAUGGUUCUUGGCGUCAGUGGUCCGUUCUUGUUCGCAACGGUUUCCACGUCGUCCCUACUCUUGACCGGGGCGAGUACGGGACUGGAUAUGGUUCCUUCUGUGCAGUCUCUCUGACUGAUAUUCCAGGCUACCCCCUUUCCUCUAAUGCGGGUAGCUGCUCCAACACCCUUUCCCUGGAUGCCGCCCAAAGAAUUCUGAGGGGGUUGGAGCUUAGAGAGAGAGUGUACUGGGCGUACCCCUCUGAGAAUACUGGUGACGUGCCCCCCUAUUUCAUACUGGCACUUCACCGAAUUUAUUUCACUAACUUUCCAAUCCUUCCGAUCCCUUCUCUAGUUAGUGAAAUACUCUUGUAUUCUGGAUUGUGUAUAUCUCAGAUGGGUGCUGCCUUCUUCUUUUAUGUCCGGGGAUUUAUAAAUAUCCUUAGGGAUGCUAGCAUAGUCCCUACUGCUCGGCUGUUCUUCCACUUCUUCACAUUCCAAAAUCCGAAGAAGGGCAGCCCUUUCAUUGCCUGUGCCAGCCGUGCUACCUCUAUUACUCACUCUGCCCUCUUGAAAGAUCCUCCGACCAGACGGAACAAGAGUGAGUUUAUUUUUGUGGAUUGCAGGUUAUGCCCUGGUAGCAGACUUCUCCCUGCAUCCACUAGUGGUCGUAAACCCAUUCCUCGUCCUGAUCUAACUGAGGAUGAGGGAGCUUCCGUGCAAAAGCUGGCCUUUUUGCAUCCUAUCGCUGUGCCUGUCGGUCACGCGAUUGAAGAUACUUUUAACCGACAAGGUCUUCCUUUUCCUGUUUUUCCUUUUAUGUUUUCUAUACAUAUGCAUUUUCUAAUUCUGUUUUUAUUCCUUGCAGAUUUUUAUAUGCAAAACCCUGGAGGUGUCCCUGAACGCGUUGGGCAAAACGAAACGGGCUCCAUGGUUUACGCAGCUGCCUCCAAGCCUUCUGAUGCUGAUCAUCUGAGGCAACGUUCCCUUGAGAAUGCCUAUACAAUGGCGCAUUCCCCUACUCCUCCUGACGAAGUCCCUCGAACUGAGGAAGGGGAGGUACCUCCGGAGGUACCUAAAGACACUACUCCUGGGCAGUCUCCUGCUGCCUCGAGGCUUUCUGGCUUCUUCCGUACUCUGUCAGAAGAAGAGCGAGAGAAAGCAACAGAGAAAACAACGGAGAAGGAGGCUCAGUCUAAGCAGACUGAGAAAACCACAGAGAAAGAGAUUCCUGAGAGGAGAAAAAGAAAAGAACGAACUCCUCCCUCCAGGACCAGCUUAUCUCCUCCAAGGAAGAGAAGAUACUCCCCCAGGCGACGAAGUCCUCUUCGCAGGAGAUUUUAUGCUGGGGAGUCCUCCCGGGGUCGCUAUAACUACUCUUCCACCCGGGAGACGCAACUGCCGGGGUACCAAGGUUCACACCCCCGGAACUACGGGUCCAAAUUUCUUCUGACCCCUGACACGGAUGCCACCCGAACCACACUGCGGGCCAUCUCUGGGUAUCCGAUGGAUCGGAUUGUUGAAGAAAUAGGACAGAACCUGAGCAACGUGAGUGCUUUUAUUUUGAUUAUUUUUAUGAGCGUGUCCUUACCCAUUCUUUCUCUUUGCAGCUCACCCAUUUGUUCCAGGGCCGCAUCUCUUCCCUGUCUCAUCUUCGUGACUCUCAGUCUACGGAAGACGAGUUGAAGAGAGUGAAGCGCCGAUGCAAAGAUCUGGAAGGUGAGGUUGCACAAAAAGUUUCAGACGCCUCAACUCUGUCUGCCACCAAGAAGAAGUUGUCUGCGGAUUGGGCUGCACAAAGGAAUUUCUUGAGAGAAAAAGAGCAGGAAAUCUCCAAACUUAAGGGAGAGUUGGGGGCUGCAAGGUUGGAACUCGCAACUGAACGUGCCAAGGUCAUCAUUAAAGAGUCGAUGAUCGUUGAUCUUGACCUUCAGCGCGAGAAUGUUGAGGCGACUCUCAACACCUGUCAGACACAGAAUGCCAUAUUUUCCGACCGACUGAGUGAGAGCCAUGAGGAGAACAAGAAGCUCCUGGAGUUGCAGGAUGAAUAUAAGAACUCAAUAAUGCGACUAGAAGAAAUGGACCGGGUAAAGACUAAGGAGGUCCAACGCCUACUGAGGAAGCUCGACUUGCAACUGAAGAGCUUCAACGUGUGAUCAACCAUCUGGAGAAGCUCCAAGCUGACUAUCUUGUCAAUGUGCAAGAUUAUAAUGACUUGGUUGAUCUGGGUCCUCAUGUUUGCCCUGGUUUCGAGGCUGAGGAUAUCCACAACUGGGCCCGUAAGUACCCUAAGGAAGCUACUGAAGUUCGAAAUCGGGCGCUUGCGGAAGAAGAGGAUGAAGAGAAUGAAGAGAAUGAAGAAGAGGAGGUUCUGGAGGCGCUUGCUAAAGAUUUCUCUAUAGAAGAUCAAGACAACAACGAUGCAGAGGUCUCUAAAGAUGCACCCCCUCCUCCUCUAUCUUAUUCUUUUAACUGUUGUAAUUUACAUUCCUUUGUAAUUUUUUUUAAAUCAAUAUAUGGAAUGUAUUUUUAAGUGUUCUGAUAGCUAACUAAAUAACAUAUUAGUUAUGUAGUUCAAACUAUUACAAGAGUAAUAUAAUCCUACUUAAUUGUUUUAAAAAUACAACUGUAGGUUAUCUGCGUGCCAAGUAUUAGGAAUGCCUGUUCCAUCUUCCCGUUUUAACUUGUACGUGCCUGGUCGGAGUUAUUCCUCCACCACAUAUGGUCCUUCCCAAUUUGCGCCUAGUUUGCCUUUAGAGCAGUCUUUUCUGCCGACACUUGCUUUUCUCCAUACUAGGCUUCCUUUUCUUAUCGCUUUACCCUUGACAUUCUUGUCGUGAUAUCUAGCGAUACUUUGUUUAUAAGUUGCAUUCUUUGCCUGUGCAUUAUCCCUAAGCUCAUCUACUAAGUCCAGAGUUAUUGCGCAUGAUCUCAUGUUUUCUUCCAUGUCAUAGGAUAAUACUCUGACUGUUGGGAUGCUUAGCUCUGUUGGGAUUAGUGCUUCCAUUCCAUAUGCUAGUGAGAACGGGGUUUCUCCGGUGGGUGUCUUUUCAGUGGUUCUAUACGCCCAUAGGAUCUCUGGUAGUAGAUCUGCCCACGAACCUUUGGCCUGUUCGACUUUUUUCUUCAGUCCCUGAACGAUGGCUCUGUUUGUGACUUCUACUUGCCCAUUACCCUGUGGUCUGUAUACCGAUGAAAAAUGGAUUCUGGUGCCCAUGUUCUCGCACAAUCUCGUAAACUCCCCACCGGUAAACUGUGUACCGUUAUCUAUCACUAUAUGCACUUAAAGACAAACUUUGUUGCUGCUCCUUGAGUUAUUUUGGGUACAGCUAGUGCCUCGACCCAUUUAGUAAAGUAGUCGACAGCCACAAAUAUAAAUUUAGCCUGGCCUGUCGAUACUGGAAAUGGUCCCACAAUAUCUAAUCCCCACAUUGCAAAGGGAAUGGGGCUUUCUACCCCUGUUAGCUGAGUUGCGGGGCUCCUCUGUAUGUUUUUGUGUAUUUGACAGGCCUUGCAUUUUCUUGCAAAUAGGACUGCAUCUUUUUUCAGUGUGGGCCAGAAGUAUCCCUGCCUUAUUAUUCUUUGGGCCAAAGAUCUUCCCCCCUGAUGUAUUCCGCAAACUCCUUGAUGAAUCUCCUCUACAAUGAAUUGUCCUUCUUCUGUUGAGACACAUUUCAUUAGAGGUCCGUCGUAGGAUUUCUUAUACAGAAUAUCACCGAUCAGGCAGAAUCUUGAAACGCGUGUUUGUAAUUUGCGUCUUUCAUUUUUAUUUUCAGGAAGUUUCUGUCCCUCGAAAUAUUCUAUCAAGGGCUUCCUCCAGUCUUCUGCCUGGAUCACAACUAAGUUACAUGAAGGUGUAGAUGCUGAGUCAACCAGUAUCUCUCUCUGCCCCCCCUCGAAAGCAGAAGCUAGCUUUGCCAGGGCAUCAGCUGAGUUAUUUUGACUCCUUGGUAUCUGCUCUACUUCAACCUUAGUAAAUUGUUAUUUGAGUUUCUCCAAUGUGGCUGCGUACUGUACAAUUAGAGAUUCUUUAACAGUGAACUCUCCUGUGAAUUGUCGAGCCACUAGUUGAGAAUCUGUUCUAAUAAUUACUGAACAGGCCCCUAACCUUCUAAGAAUUUUAAUUCCUUGGAUCACAGCUUCGUAUUCUGCUAUAUUAUUCGUAGCUGAGAACUGUAAUCUGAUGGAAUGUUCAUAUAUUCGUUGGUCUGGAGUGAUUAUCUUUAUUCCUACUCCUGCACCUGUACUGCAGCUUGAGCCAUCAACCUCUACUAUCCAGGGUUUUUCUUUGCUUUCCUGGGUCAUGUCUACAAUAAAGUCUGCAACUUCUUGCCCCUUAAUGGCUGUGGCAGGAACAAAAUCUACAUCGAACUCGCUUAACUCCAGUGCCCACUUCGUUAAUCUUCUGGAAGUAUCUGGCCUGUGGAGGAUUCUGCGCAGUGGAUGUUAUGUUAAGACUUUAAUUGUAUGAGCCAGGAAAUAUGCUCUGAAUCUGCGUGCUGCAUGUACUGCUGCCAGGACUAUUUUUUCCACUGGAGGAUACCUUGUUUCUGCCCCUUGUAGCCUUUUGGAGUGAUAAUAUAUCGGGAUCUGUUCACUGUCCCUUUGACAUAUUAGAACUGCACUGAUAGCCUCUUCUGAAGCUGCUAUGUAGACAUACAAUUCCUCCCCUAUUUUUGGCGAAGUUAGGUGUGGUAGAGAAGCCAGAUGUGCUUUGAGCUGUAGAAACGCCUCGUCACACUCUGUAGUCCACUUUAUUGCCCCUUUUUGACUAGUUUUUAGUAGCUGGAAAAAGGGUUUGCACUUGUCUGCUGUUUUGGAAAUGAACCGACUUAAGGCAUUGAUCUUUCCAUUCAGCUUUUGUACCUCCUUUAUUGUUCGAGGUGGUGUUGUUUCUAGUAUCGCUGCUAUUUUAUCUGGAUUUGGUUUUAUCCCUUUCUGCCCUACAUAGAAUCCAAGAAAUUUUCCUUCUUGCACUCCGAAACUGCAUUUGGCAGGGUUUAACCUCAUCCCAUAAUUCUGCAGAGUUUCCAGGGUUUCUUUCAGAUCAUUUGGGUGCUCAUCUGCUUUUUUGGACUUUACCAGAAUGUCAUCUACAUAUGCCAGGAUAUUUCUUCCCUCCUGCUUUUUGAAAACCUUGUCCAUCAGCCUUUGAAGGUUGCUCCUGCAUUUCGUAGGCCGAAUGGCAUGACUUUGUAGCAAUAUGUCCCCCAUUCUGUGAUGAAUGACGUAGCCUCUUCAUCAUCCUCUUUCAUUAAGAUCUGAUUGUACCCUGAAUGUGCAUCCAUCAUAGAUAGCAACUCAUUUCCUGAUGCUGCAUCUACUAAUCUGUCGAUUGAUGGGAGUGGGUAGCUGUCUUUUGGACAUGCUUUGUUGAGAUCUGUGAAGUCUACACACAUCCUCCACUUCCCAUUAGAUUUUUUGACCAUAACUGGGUUUGCUAACCAUUUUGGAUAUUUGACCUCCCGGAUGUGCCCAGCUUUGAUUAACUUUUCAAUUUCAGCCUGUGCUGCCUCCUUUCUUUCAGCUGCGAGUAUUCUUCGCUUCUGCCGUAUAGGAGUAAAACUACUGUCUAUGUUGAGCUCAUGGCAUGUUAUAGUGCGUUGUACCUGUGAGGGUGCCUCCCCUUCCCAUACGAACGUGUGCACAUGGGUUUCUAAUAGUUGCAGUAGUGACUCUUUUAACUUGGAGGAUAAAGAUGUCCCUAUCAGGACUCCUCCUUUUGAGAGUUUGACUUCCUCAACAUGAUUGGAUGAGGCUGUGUCUUCUUCCUCCUCUCUUUCUUGGAUGUACAUGGUUACAGGUUUGGCUAUUUUAGUUGCCUUCCUGUACGAAUUUCUGGAGUCUUUCUGUGCUCCAGAAACUGUUGCCAUUCUGCCAUCUUUUCCUGGGUACCUGAAGCAUUGAUGAUAAGAUGAUGGUAUCGCUUUGAAACCGUGAAUGCUUGGUCUGCCCAAGAUCCCAUUGAACGGAGAGUCUAUAUUGACCACAAUGAAGUGUGCUGUACGUGAUACUCUCCCGUUUCUUUUUCCCAGGGAUAUCUGUAGAUCGAUGGCUCCUACUACUGGGGCCUUUGUGUUUGUAAACCCAUAGAUGGCUUCCUUGGCCGGGGUUAGCUGAUCCACUUUGUAGCCCAUCUUUUCGAACGCAGCUAGGUAUAAUAUAUCUACUGAGCUGCCGUUGUCCACCAUAACUUUGUUCAGACUUAAGUCAUCCCCUAUGUCCACUUGUAUCACUAGUGGAUCCUCAUGUGGGCUGACCACGUUGUCCAGAUCUUCCUCAGAGAAGCUUAUUUCCUCGCUUGGGUACGAUCUUUUCUUAGAUUUUUGCAUUACUUUGCGCGAGUAACUUCUGCUUUCUCCUACCGAUCCUCCACCGAAGAUUAAAUUAAUUACCCUUCUUUUGUGGUCAGUGUCUGAAUCUGGACUCCUUGAGCGUUGGCGCUUACCCUUGUUCUUUGGGUCCUUGCAGCCUUGUCGCCCCCUUUCUACUUUAUUUAUAUAUUGCCUUAGCUUUCCUUCCUUUACUUGUGUAUCUAGGAAGGUGCUCAGGUCCCUGCAGUUCUCCGUGUUGUGCCCGUAAUCCUUGUGGAACUUGCAAUACAUGUUCCUCCUUGUUCGAGCCUCUUUCGUUGCAGGGUUCAACUCUUCUGGUUGAGGAAACCUUAUUCUUCCUUUUUCUUUAUUAUAGAUUUCCUCUUUUGGAGUAGUGAAAACCGUAAAUCCCAAGUCUUUGUACUUUGGAUAUCUUGAUUUCCCGAACUCCUCAGAUGUCUGGUAGACCUUUCCGUCGUGUUUUGGUCUCCAGGAUGAUUCUCCUUUUUCGAAUUUCUGGAAUUUUUUCUUUGGUGCUUCGUAUGCUUUUUUAUUGCUUAUGGCACCUCUCUCUUUUUCCUUUUCUUUCUCAUACUCUUCAGAAUUUAUGUAUUUCUGAGCCUUUGUUAGCAGGUCCUCCAUGCAUGUUACAUUACUGACGUUUAGCUUUAUUGCUAAUGGCGUGUUCAUGUCUAGCCCUUUUGAGUAUGCGCAUAUUGCGAUUGUUGUGUUUAGAUCGGAGAUUUUCUGCAUGGCUUCCGUGAAUUUAGUUGUAUAAUUCCGGAGCGUGUCUCCAUUCUGCUUGAUUGCGAACAGCGAUUCCGUGCCCUUUCUGACCCUUGUGUUUCCACAAUGUUGGGCGACGAACUUCUUUUUUAAGUCCUCGAAAUUUGUGCUCCCUGGCUGCAAUUCGAUGAACCAUCUGUAUGUGGGUCCUUUUAAUGUUCCUGGGAACGCUCUACAGAGAAUGUCAUCCCUUGACGUAGCCCACUGCAUUGCCCCUACGAACAUGUUUAUAUGGUCCGCUGGGUCCAUCUUCCCAUCAUAGAUCUGUAGCCUGGGUAGCCUGAAUUUCAGAGGUGCUGGUUUUACCAUUAGCGAUUUGUGCAAGGCAUCCAUGCCUACUAGCCAGUUUGGGACCUCGCCCCCUCCUUCCGUGUCUCCCGUACUUUCUUACUGUACGGGUUUUCUGAAAAAAGGUUUGGGUUGCCUCUCUGUUUGUGAGGUAGUGGUGCGCUGGAGUGUGCUGCCCUAUGACUUGACACCUCCUGCUGUGCCUUGGCCUGCUUUGAGGUUUGAGCUUUUGUAUGGUAUAUCGAUGCCCUAGACUUUUCAAUAUCCUUUAUCUUCUCGCUCAUUUUUGCUAUGGUUUCCUUCAUUUUUUCCAGUUCUUCUAUGGGCAUUUUUAUGAACCCAUGAGUAGAUUCUGAUGCAGCAGUCCUUGGUUCCUUGCUGCUUGUGGGUCCCCCCUUCUGAGGCUGUUCUUCCGAAGGUUUCUCCUUUUCAGCAAGGAGUCGGAUGGCCUCUGCUAUCGCCUGAACUGUGAUGUUCAGAUUUUCCCCUCCUGCUGAUGCUUGGGGAGUUUGCGCGGGUUCACCUUCGGGUUCAGACUCAGGUCCUGUGGGAGUCCUUUUGUUUUUAUUGGCCUUAGGUGGUCGACCCACUGGCCUUUUAGUUUUUGAGUUGCCAGGCUGUUGCCCUGGCGCCUCCUGAGAAUUUGCUCCUCCUCCUUGGGAAGUGCUUCGAGUUACUACCAUCCUGUAGUGUUCGACUUUUCUUGGAAGGUGGGUUCGACUUUUGCUUGAAGAGAAAAGUCGAUCUUCAAAAAGUCGACUCCUAGUGCACUUGGAGGAUUCCUUGGAAUUCGAUGUCUGAAAGCCUAGCUCCUUGAGGGGUCGACUUUUUCUUGGAAGAAAAAGUCGAUCUUCUGAAAUGUCGAUCCCUUGCUGGCUGAUUUCCUCGCAAAACUUCCUAGCUGGCGACUUGGAAAAAAGUCGAUCCCUUUUUUCGAAAAAGUCGAGGAGCUUUUGUCGUGAGUAUCUUUGAGUCACAGACGGCGCCAACUGAUGGGGGUGAAACCCAACCAGUACUCCAAGACGCGCAAGCAAGCGCCAAGCGGGGAACUCCGCGGGAAACCGGACCGGAACUCAAGUGUGCAGAGCUCUGCUUCGCUAGGAAUCCUUUCGCUCCAAAUGACCUGCCUUUAAUGAAUGGGGGGUGCCCUCUAUUUAUAGGGGUUCUUGUGGGGGCAAUCUGGUCCUUUGGGCAGUAACCGCCUAACCGCCCAACUGAUCAGAUUGGGCCCAGGGGUCGACUUUCCAGAGAUCGACUUUCUGGGGGUCGACUUUUCCUGGUGAUCGACUUUACUCAAAAGUCGAUCCCAGGGAAGUCCUAGCCGAAGCCUACUCCUUGCACCCCUGUCCGGUCCGAUUCUCCCGCGGAACCCUAGAAUAGAUACCUCCACUCAUCUUAGGCUAUCCGGACUUUUAGUUGCUGGGAGGUUGUGACCGUGUUCGGGAUACUGUAUCACCAAAUACUAUAUAAUAUCAGCAAAGGUCUGAGAUGACUUUAUAAAACUUUGACAGAAGGAAAAGACAAAACAAUUUAAGCUAGACUGCAAUGUAGGUAACAGUUGUAGUUCUGCAGGUUGAAAAAAAGUCAUACAGUAGUCUAUGAUAGACCAUAAUAGGUAUUUAACAAUAAUAGGUCAUUAACUAUCACAUUCUAAUAAUUAGUACUGAUAAAAAUAAGGAACAUUAACAAUAGAUGACGUUUGAUUGUUAAUAAUUAGUACUAAUAAAGUAGGUAGAUGACAAGACAAAUUUAGAUAGUAGUACAGACUAUAAUGACGUCGAAGUAUGCAAUCACAUCGGUAAACAGAAGACCGAAUAAUAUUACAAGCAGCAAUAAAAAAAUAAUUUUUUUUGAAUAGUAUUGUGAUUGACUCGUAGGCAGCUAAUUGUCCCCCUGUCUCGGGAGUGGGCGCAGAUCGCGUCGGGGCGGGCCUAGCGAGAGCCGCGACGACAGGAAAUGACGCAGGUUAGUAGCCGGGAGAGACGAGGACCCACGGGAGCCGCGACGACCGUGCGACCGACGGCCAUAGCCGGUAGCCUCAUCAGGAGCGGGCGCAGGAACCACGACCGAAGAGGGGCAGGAGCAGCAUGCAAGGACCGGCGGGAGCUCGAUGUAACUGCAGGAGCGGCGUCGGGGGCGCCGCUGGCGGGCCGGCUCGCGAGGAUAUCAGAGAGACGGCGGUGGAUAUCUAUCAACACAGUGUUGAGACGCUGAGUCUCCGCCAAGGCCACAUGGUUGGGGGCACCGGCGGGCAUCAGCAGGCAUAAGGCCCACGCGACAUGCUGAAGCUGCAGCUCAUGGCCGUACUCCUCGAGAACAUCCUGGAUAUUCAUCGCGAAGGAAGGGAGGAAUGAGGAAUCAAAGCAACAAGCGACCUAUUUAUAGGGAGGAAGCGAAGGGGAGCAGCUCGAAACUCGAGGCGUCAUUAAGACGAGUAAAGAGGGGAGGUUGAAGACCAAGUACGGACGGACCGCCCAACGGUCCAUGGACCGAACUGGCCUCUUCAAGGGCCCAGGCGCAUGAAUGGCCCGAGCCGGCGGGCCCAUGAGGCCCAAAGGCAACGCAAAAUACUAUAAAUACCUCCCCUGGUCCACUAGGGGAGGAGGUUGACAAUUCUAAAGAGUGAACGCUUGAGAGAGUUGAGGUUGUGAGCUUGGAGCGACGAACCCACACACUAACAAUGUCCAAUAGUAGUUCAAUGAAAAAGAAAUUGGUAGUAAUGUGACCUUUAGAUUAGAAAUAGAACCACGUGAAUGAUUUAGCGCAGGAUGGCGCAAAUAGAGGUUGGCACAUAACCCUAACCCUAAAUAAAAUAAAUCACAAAUCCACAAUAUUAAUUGCAUUUUUAACAUAAAACAUAAAGAAAUUAAUAUAUACAUUAGCAAUUUAUUUUAAAAUCGAGAAAACUAUUUGCGUUGCAGUAAAACUGAAAACAAUUAUAAAGCCAAUUAAGACUAUUGGUUUUUUGAAGUAGUCCUUCAUUAGUUUGGCUCUGCGUCUGUUGAAGGGUCUAUUACAUACUCGGUUGAUAGCUUUGAAUUGUUGAGAAAGAAAAUCCACUUCCUUUUUAGGUAACACCAACCAUGAUCUGCGUUUGCUGAAGAAUUCUGCUAUUUCCUUAGCUCCAUGUGUGGUGGUGACUACUCUCAGCAUCCCAACGAACAUUAGAGCUUCUACAUCUGCAUUUGUUUUGACCAAGUGACUCAUGUACACUGCGUAUGUUGAAAUCCUGCUUCUUCUUCCACCUAAUCUGUGUCGACGACGUGGAUCAAAAUUCUCAAGAAAAGUGUCCUUCCAAUUUCUCAAAUAAACAACUUUCUUCUCCGUGGUUUUCAAACCAUAUAUUUGUUCGUAGAACAACAUGUUCUCAAAUUCAGUAAAAAAAUUGUCAUUUAUCACCUUUGAUCCCUCCACCAUAAAGCCAUAUUGAAAGUGCAUAUUAUAUGGCCUCAUAUCAUUGGAAAGAAACGACAAACCAGAAUAGAAUUGUUCUUUUGCUGUUGGAAUGGUUGACAUCAUUGAAGGACUUUUAUUAUCCAACCUUCUACUACUUGUGAACAGAGAACACAUAUCGCCAUUUGAUACAAGCAAGUCAACGUACACGAUAAAACCAUGCAAAAGCCAGACUACGAUGUGCCAAAAAAGCUGACUACAUAGCAUCACCGAGCAAAAAAUUGGAAAAGUUAAUACAAUAAUUAAAAGCCGCCACAUAGAGACAAUUGUUCGUCUUUUAAAGUGACGCAGCCGAACUAUGUAAAGUAGAUGAAGAAGAUGAUCGACUUCUCCAUCUUCUUUUACUUCACCGUAUGCACCAAUUUUCUUCUUUCUAUUGUCUACGUAAUAAACCGCCAAAUCAAACAAACUGCAUCUUUUUUUUAGUUUCAAUUUUGCAUGAUCAUAAUCCGUCAGUUCAUAUAUAACUUCAAGAAUAGAAAAAGGUACCUGAUUCUCGAUGAGAACCAUAUCAUGAUUUAGUAGAUCAAUAUCUAUUCCGGGAAGCACAAAUGUUGGACACUCGCUGUACUUCAACAAAAACUCCACAACCGUCUAAGACCAACAUCUUCAAGAACUCAUCAUUUGAGACUCCACAAGUAGCAAAAUCGUUGUACUUGGCCUUUGCAUUAAGAAACUGGUCUCUAAUCUUCUUCGUAUACGUUUCAACUUUGUUAUUCUCAAUGUUGCGACGAAGCAGGUCAUUAAGGUAUUGCAGCUUGAGAUUUUGCAUGGGAUAGAGGGCUUCAUUCUUAGAGUGGUAUGGUCCAAUGGAAAUCAUUUUGGGCUCGAAAUCACCACACCAUUAGCUUGAAUGAUCUCUUCCGGGACUCUACAUAUGGUUACCGUCUGUCUCCGAUGACCGUAGUUUUUCGAUGUAGUCGAUAUCCACAUCUUCUGUCAGCUCCUUUACAAUUGAAGCGACCACAUCGUUUGAUGAUAGAUUCUCCUCAAUUUCUAUUUCGGUUUGAGUGCGUGGCCCGUUUGUUUCCCCUACAAUGAAGUUUGUUGAAGUCUCCUCCACUUUUUCUACUUGUUUCAGAACUCGUGCCAUGGAAGAAAUUGGAAAUUCUAUCUCUUGUAAUGGUGUACUUCUCUCCCCAACUCAGCUAUAUACAUCAGUUUGAGCCACCGAGACCUCUAAUGACACAAGAUGAAUGUCAUUUUCUUUCGGUAAGUGAACUACUCAACAUUAGUCAUUUAUAUAUUACAGCAAUCGGAAGCAUACUAAUUAAUUAUCAUUCAACGUACCAUCGAAAAAAACUUACAAUAUUUCACAUUACUAAUUAUUAUUCAUAUUAUCAUUAAUAGAAAUUAGUGCAUGCUUGAUGAUAGAUUCCUUGGAAGCGUGCUUGAUGCUUGAUUCAUUGAGAAGCGUGCAAGUGCAAGAUCAUUAAUUUCUACGACAUAUUAGAUGAAUUUCUUUGUAGUUUGGGAAGUAUUCCAAAAAUGACAAGUAUAUUAAUUAUGAUUGAACAUUAAAAGUGCUAAUUGUAAACUGGCCGAAGUACAUGGUGUUAAAACUAACCUGACAUAUUAUAAUAUCAAUGAAGAUUCCUCUUUAAUCAAUAUAUGAGAGAUGAUAAUUUCAUAAAAAAAAAUUAAGGAGCAAGCUAAGUUACCUCUGAA